rnacentral:misc_RNA from 1 species
GAUGAAGAACGCAGCGAAAUGCGAUACGUCGUGUGAAUUGCAGAAUUCAGUGAAUCAUCGAAUCUUUGAACGCACAUUGCACCUCUCGGUAUUCCGGGAGGUAGGCCUGUUCGAGCGUCAUUUGUACCCUCAAGCUCUGCUUGGUGUUGGGUGUUUGUUCCGCCUCUGUGUGUGAACUCGCCUCAAAACAAUUGGCAGCCGGCGUACUUGUUUCGGAGCGCAGCACAUUUUGCGAUCCAGAUCAACGUACAGCGGCAUCCAAGAAGCCUUAUUUAACGCUCUUGACCUCGGAUCAGGUAGGGAUACCCGCUGAACUUAAGCAUAUCAAUAAGCGGAGGA